UCUAUCUAUCUAUCUAUCUAUCUAUCUAUGUAUCUGUAUAUCUAUUAUUUAUUUAUUUGGAUGAGCUAUUCCUUCAUGUUUUGAUGUCGAAUGCUCUGUGUUCUUCAUCAGCUGUUGAGAAUAACUCCGGCGGUGAGGAGCAGAGAGUACGUGCUGCUUUCCUUUCUGGAGCACCAGAGCUGUGAGUGCAGGCCCAGGCGACACCACCUGAGAAAUCAGCACAGAAGGAGGCGGAAGGGCAAACGCAGGAGGAGACGGAGAGGAAGGACGGAUGAGGAUUGAGACGCAGCCGGGGUCAGCCACACACUCGCAUCAGUGCAUCACGUUCACUCAUUAGUGCUCAUGUGUGUGUGUCCAGGGGCCCAUGCAUACACCACUAGUCCUAAGAAGUUAGUGGUCUAAUUUGUUUUCUGCAAGACUGGUCAUAACUGUUUCAAGUCAGUUACAAGAAGGCAGACUGGCCCCAGUUUCAAUCAGAAAAGUGAAAGAUAUCUUGGCUAACUGCUAGUUGUUCUGAAGACACGGUCUUUACAGUAGUGUCUGUGUUCAGGAGUUGAUCUCUUUUUUUUUUUUUUACCUUGAUGAAGGUGUUUUGUUUUUACAUACAUAUGUGCCAUCUAUUUAUGUCAAAUAUUUUAAUAAUUAAGUAAAAAGUAAUUCUCAGUGAAAUAUGUUACACCUGUACUGUAUAUUCAACUCAAAUAUAUCAAAAAAGUAGAUGUAAAUAAAAUCUGCUAGAAUAGAUUUGAAAUAAUGACC
ensembl:lncRNA